rnacentral:rRNA from 1 species
GGGGAAUAUUGCACAAUGGGGGAAACCCUGAUGCAGCAACGCCGCGUGAGUGAAGAAGGUCUUCGGAUCGUAAAGCUCUGUUGUACGGGACGAAGCAAGUGACGGUACCUGUUGAAUAAGCCACGGCUAACUACGUGCCAGCAGCCGCGGUAAUACGUAGGUGGCAAGCGUUAUCCGGAUUUACUGGGUGUAAAGGGCGUGUAGGCGGGACUGCAAGUCAGAUGUGAAAACUAUGGGCUCAACCCAUAGCCUGCAUUUGAAACUGUAGUUCUUGAGUGUCGGAGAGGCAAUCGGAAUUCCGUGUGUAGCGGUGAAAUGCGUAGAUAUACGGAGGAACACCAGUGGCGAAGGCGGAUUGCUGGACGAUAACUGACGCUGAGGCGCGAAAGCGUGGGGAGCAAACA